AACAAAACGACAAUAAUACAUAAAUAACAACAGACUACUAGCAGUUAACUGAAAUGCCAGCUCCAGACUUCAAUUAAACUGACUGAAAGAUUAUGAUUUCAUCAUAUGAACAUCAGGCACAAUCCUUCCCGUUAGGGGUUUAGUAUCAUACCAUCAUAACAUAUAUGAGAAGAACAUAACCCGUGUCAUGCCAACAACUGGUUUUUGAAUAAAUGUGUUUAGUUCCGAUGCAAAGACCCUAUAAUUGAAUCAAUAUUAACGCCAAAAUAUGCAAUCUUUAAUGACCUGACAACAGUAUCGUAACUAUACAAUCUAAUUAAAAACCGAUCUCUCAUCGCUCCCGUUUUCUGUGUCGCGUGGGAGAUAUAACGAAACCGGCUUUGAGGUCACAUGUGAGUGAACUAAAAGUUAUGAAUUUAUAAUGAUAUGCAAAUGACUUGACGACCUAUUAAUAAGCC
rnacentral:lncRNA from 1 species